UAUGCCCCUUUACUACUUCGCCAAUAGAUGGCGCCAAACGCUACGGUCCUGCGCGUACUUCCGGUAUAUUACGCGGUUCAUAGAUAUUUGCACGACCAACAACUACAACGAAGUAUUUACGAUGCCUUCGACGUGCAGCUGUGUCCCGGGAUGCUGCAAUCGAGGUGGUUUGUCGUUUCCGAGAGAACCUUUGUUGCUGAAACGAUGGUUGAUUGCUAUUCGGAGGAGCGACGAAUCAAACCAAGGCAAGAUGUGGAAACCGUCACCUCACAGUGUUGUGUGUCAUUCCCACUUCAGACCGUCUGAUUUCAUUGCUGUAACUAGUUAUGGUGCUUGUUUUCCACAGAGAUGAGGCACAGAUGAUUCAAGAAUACAGGGUGUACACCUCUGAGGAAACAGAGAAAACCAGAUGCUGUACCAUCAAUCUUUCCCUGGACUGCAUCAGCCAACGCACUUGAGGCCGAUGGAGGCUUAAGGAAAUCCUGCAUUGAAAGACGUGAGAGCCAAAAGAGGACAUUUAAAGCAAUGGAUACAGAUUGUGAUAUUGAAUGUGAUAUCAGUGAGGUAGCUGGGGAGGAAAUAAUUGACAAUGUUGAGUUUGAUGACAUGAAUACCGACUUAAACAUUUAUUCUGCAGAUAGUGCAGAGGUUGAAUAUGAAAGUACAUCAGCUCAGACAGACAAAUUUCCAAUGCUUCCAAUACAAAGUAUUAUGUUUAAUGCUGCAGCAAUUUUGUUUUACACAGGACUGUCAAACUAUACAGACUUCACCUUUGUACUUGCAAGUUUGGGUCCGUGUGCAUAUCACCUAAAUUAUUUGUACAGCAAAGUUGACAGUAUGACUAUCAGUGUGGAAAAUCAAUUGCUUUUAACACUUAUGAAACUGCGCCGACAUAAGAUUAACUUUGAACUUGGUCUUAAUUUUGGAAUUUCAGAGAAAACAGUAUUAAAUGUAUGGUUCACCUGGGUAAAUUUUAUGUAUAGACAGUGGAGUGAGCUUGAUAACUGGCCAGAACGAGACUUAGUGCACUAUUUUUGUCCUUCUGAUUUCAAAUUCAAAUUUCCAUCCACAUUCAAAAUACUUACUGAACCUCUUAACAGUUCAGAAACCAAAUUAGCCACAGAAAUAACCAGGGUUUGCUUCAUGCUUUGUUCUUUCAAAAAGUGCAUUGUUCCCUCUACUUGCUAAUCAUAUUGGUUAGCAAAUCAUUAAAAAUAUCUUUCAUUCCAGUCGGACGUUAGUCAGACGUAGAGUAUGGAGAUUUGUUUCUAAUUUCUUUCAAAAAGGCCUGUUAUUUGCGUUUGCUACAUGAUUAAAGAUAAUUGUUGCUAAAUAUUCAUGAGGAUAAAGUUGAAUGUAACAUGUUAUCGAUUAUGUAUCAUGUUGAGACUAGAAUGGGAAUCUGUGGUCAAAAAGCAAGUUUGAAGCAAAUUUACCAUUUGUGCAGCCACAAUCAAUCAUACUCUUUUGUCAAGGUACAAACAUAAAUGUGUUAGUAUCAGAGAUUAUGAUAAUGUAAUGCUCAACUUCCUGUUCAGUGUGGUGUUAAACCCAUCUCACUCACUGAAUUUGUUUUAAAUUUAUGACAUCAGUAACAUGAAUUUAAGAAUGUUGACAUUGUUUGGUGCGUACUGUUACAUUAUCCCCUGCCACAAAGUGGGAGAGACACAUUUCUUGUCUGAGCAUAAUUCGGAAACUGUUUCAUAUGUUAUUAUGAAACUUGGCACAUGUAUCAAACACAAGUUGAACUGGUGCCCUUUCCUGUUUUCCAUGGCAGCAAUUUGGAUUAAACCCAAAUACUGGUUGCUUUUAUUUCACGAACUUAAAAUCUGAAUAAGUUGAAGUGUAUAUUUCUGGAUCAUAUAUCCAUUAUAUUUUCAAUGGAUACAUGUUUACUGAGAAACAAAUUGUAAUUAAUUGUCCUAAGUUAGGAGGACCAUGUUUAAAUCUGUUACUUUGUGCAUUGUGGCUGUAAUGAGGACAAAAUUCUAAUGUGUCCCAUGGCUGUGUAUUCUUCAUAUGAUACUGGCAGCAGCUAGACCGGUCCAGAUAUUUGGCACAUCUUAGUGCUGUUGCUUCAGCUCUCUCAGAUGUUAUAAAAGGCAAUCAUGACAAGCAAGAAGUCAAUGACAAUGUUUUUUUAUCAUUCCCUCAAACAGUUCAGCUGCAGAUAAUAAUCACAUGACAGUUGUAAUUCCUCAGAUAUAGAGCUGAAGGAGUAUGCUUCAAGCAGUGAUGAUAUUUAUGAGUAUGGACACUGAAUUGUGAUUAUGUAUUGCACUGUAGCUUCAUCUAUAUUUAGAUCUUCCAACUAUUAACUACUGGAGUACUUAACAGAUGGUUGCCAUUGUCACAAAAGGAGUUAAAAGUUAAUGUCACAUCAAUACUAUUUCAGCCAUAUAGUGACGAGACCAAGUUGAUAUACACAAUUUACUCAUGAAUGCAAAGGUAUAUUUAACAAUAUCAUUUAUACAGUUUUAAAACACAGGUUAUAGGCCAUCAGAAACCAAAGCUAGGCCACCUCGCCGGGGAUCAUGGGGACUUACGGUGCCUCUGCUUCCUGCACGAUACCCUAGCAGGAUUUAUGUCAUUAACUAAGCCACUGGUGGUUGUGCUCAAUACUAGCCAGUCAGCAAUGAUGUCAGUUGAUUAUAGCAUCACAUCAAAUUUAAAAACAGGCAAUCAAUGAUUCACAUACAUAUUUAGAUUAUUUUUUUUUACAGACCAUUUUUUCUUUCAAGUAGUUGAUAAUGAGGUGCCUGGUCAUAUAGUACUGUAACAGUAAGUACGAACUGACAUCUGAGAUUGUAUUUAUUUAGACUAGUGAAUGCAUCCAUGUAUGGGACCAGUGUGUACGUUGUGAUUUUUAGAUUAUCCAACUUAUAACUACUGGAGUGAUUAAGAGAUGGUUGCCAUUGUCACAUAGUACUGUAACAGUAAGUACUAAAUGUCUUAAUAAACAUCUGAGAUUGUAUUUAUUUACACAAGUGAAUGUAUCAAUGUAUGGGACCAGAGUUCAACCUGGUUUUGUCUGAUGCAACUCUUUUCACGUCAACAUUCAUCUGGUGAAAUAUCAUCCUUAAAUGGAGCCCUGCAAGUUUUUUCAUAACUUUUUGUUUGUGAAUGUCCAUAUAUGCAGAAUAUAAUAUGUUCAGCAUUAAACAUUGAGACUACAA